rnacentral:rRNA from 1 species
AUUGAACGCUAGCGGGAUGCCUUAUACAUGCAAGUCGAACGCAGUGGCGGACGGGUGAGUAAUAUAUCGGCACGUGCCCAGUCGCGGGGGCUAACUACUCGAAAGAGUGGCUAAUACUGCAUACUAGUGUAGCGGCCGAUGUGGGAUUAUGUAGUUGGUGGGGUAAAGGCUCACCGAGUCAACGAUCCGUAGCUGGUUUGAGAGGACGACCGGCCACACUGGGACUGAGACACGGCCCAGACUCCUACGGGAGGCAGCAGUUGGGAAUUUUGGACAAUGGGGGAAAGCCUGAUCCAGCCAUCCCGCGUGUAUGAUGAAGGCCUUCGGAUUGUAAAGUACUUUUGGCAGAGAAGCGGUAUCUGCAGAAUAAGCACCGGCUAACUACGUGCCAGCAGCCGCGGUAAUAC